GCUCCCCGGCUUAUAUCUACACGCUUUAAUGAGAAAAAUAUGGUUGCUGAUUUUUGCUCCCAUGCACUCUGCAGUGCCAGCACAGCUCAGAGAGAAGGUAUACAAUCAGCUCCGUGUGCAAGAGUGUUAUGGCUAUUACUACAAUGGGUUCAACCUGGAAGAUGACGACAAAGAGCCGGGCAUCCCAGUCACAGACACCUUUUUCAAUGGCUUAUACUAUGUGCCUGUGGAUGUUACUCAUGACGGGGACGUCUAUGGUGUGUUCAGGGGGACUUGUUUAAACAAGAAUUUUUCAACUCACCUGAAGGACAGUUGGCAGCUCGAGUCGCCAUGGAACUGCCUGACCCCAUGACCCAGCAAAGACUUUUCCAGUACAAAGAAACAGUGACCUCCUCAUCACCUCUCCUCCCCCAUCUCUACUCAUGGCAGCAAGAUUGCUUGAAACACAAUAGGAGCAUCACUGAAGUGAGGGGAGUGGUCCUGGCCUGGAGGUUUUCCAGGCAGUACAGACUGUAGAAAUCUUUUGGGUGAGAGAAACCUUUUUACUUAUUAGCCUUGGUAAAGUUUAGGAAUUAGUUUGUGUGUUUAUCUAUUUCUCUCAUAAACUACUUUGAUUUAUAUGUCCUAUCACUUAAAAUCUAUCUUGUUCUAGUUAAUAAACUUGUUUUACUGUUUUAUCUAA